AGUGUCUCCUAUUUUGCUGCAGGGUUGUUGUUCACCUGAAUUUAAUGCAUUAGGACAGUACACCUGAUAAUAUUGCCCACAUAUAUUGCCACCAUCCCAUAAUUCAUCAUUCACAGAUGCCAAAUAAACUCCGUUUUUCUGAUCACCGAAGCAAGCAGAAGCUGCAAAUCAUCAAUGAAAUAAAUCAUUUCUUACGAACAAAUAAAAUCUAAAAUAUAAUAUCAUGUAAAAGACAUCAUUGGCACUUACGAAAAUAAGGUUUAGAGUAGUAGGAGGCCUCUCCUGUCUUUAGAUUAUGUGCAAUUGAUGCAGGGCAAAGGAACAUUAGACAAGCAAGAAUAGUUAUGUAAUUUUCCAUAAUUAACAGUACCUUUUUUCCCUUUGGGAAAGCCAGACCCUUUCUAGGAGAAGAUGCCUGUACUAAUUUAUAAGAAAAUAAUUUAUAAUAAUUUUAUUAAAAAUAAUAAUCUUUUGAUUUAUUCCAAUUCAGUACCAGACAACAUGGAAUACAAGUUUCCUUUGUAACGACAUAAUGAUUUAAGAAUUCUUCAACUUUAUACUUAAAGUAAACAUGCGAUCACUUUUAUAGAGUAUGAUCUUUUCAUAAGCAUCGAAAAAUCCAUAAAAAAAGGUAAAUGAUAUUUGACGUCUAAAAAUUCUAAGUUGAAUAAGGCAGCCAUGAGCUGUUUGUUGUGAAUAUGACUUGAAGGUGUAGAUAAAAUACCCUAUCCCGAAUGUGUUAUAGGCAAUUGAUGUCCACUGCCAACCUGUACUUGAGAGAGUCCAGUAUACGGUUGAGCUGACUGUAGUUGAGUUAUAUCGGAUGUGAGGUGGUUAGAGGGUCCCGUAUCUAGAAACCAGUCAGCAUUGGAGGUUUCAUCGUGAGCAACAAAGGCUUGCGGGUGCUGUGUUUGAUAAACAAAUUUCUCUCGAUGCCAACAGGUGGAAGCAGAGUGUCCAGGUUUGAGACAAAUUUGGCACUCAAUGUGCGGAGAGGAGCGACGUCCACCUCCACGACCUGGUGCAUUGGAGUUGCGACCUCCACGAACACGAGAUCGCCCUCUACCGCGACCUCGAAAUCGUCCACGAACAGCAGCUAAGGCAAACGAGGAGUCUGCUGCAGCAUUGGAGGGUGUAAGAUCAGUUAACUAUUCAUAGAGAACAUUAACUUCUUCACUACAUAGUAAAGAAUAGAGUUCGUCCAAAUCGUGAAAUCGACAGGUUCUGCUCUAGUGCGAAUGGCCGUUUUGAAUGCAUUAUAUGCGGAAGGCAAGCCAUUAAGCGUGUAUAGUAUGAUGUCCUCUGGAUUUAUAGUGCAACCAGAAUGCGAGAUCUGUUCGUCGUCUGGAUACGUCUAUCCAAGGUGGACCAGAUUUCCUUGCAGGUAGCUAGGUUGAGCACAUACGGUAAGAUAGAUGCUGAAAUUGUAGAGAAAAGAGCUGAUGACAAGUUCUGAUCUAUCAUCAUUCAGGUAUCCACUGAAACCAUUAGCAGCAAAGAGCUUGCAAAUCUGCUGGCGCCAAAUAGGGUAGUUGUCCGCUACCAGUUGUGUAUUGAGGACAGUCUUAACAUUCGACAUCAGGAACUUGAGUUCUGAUGGAAUGGUAGCAUUGGUAGCCACUAUUUGUGGCUGAGCUGAUGAAGUAGAAGAGGAUUCGUUGUUCGCCAUUGCGAUAGAAUAGUACUCUGGACUUGUCCUGCUUACGACAAGCGCCUUCUUGGCUCUUAUACCAUGUUGACGCUAGCGAACUUCCUUCUUGAAGACUUGCACAGAGAAUCUAAAGCAAACAGAUAGAAGGAGCAUUGUAAGGAAGGAGCUUACCUGCUCUCGUCCUGUUCAUUCUCAUAUAUAGUAUAAUGAGGCAAAUACAUCUAACGGUCCUGAUUAGCUGGCAGACCAUCAAUGGCUUAUAAUAGUGCCGUACACAUGUUUGUUAAAGCCAGGAGAAGUGGAGCAGGGAAAUGAGGCGGUAAUGCUAAUAACAUGUGAUUUUUCCCUUAAUCCAAGCCAUUUCCCACAUUAUGUUUUUCUUGCGUUAAAUUGAGAAAUUAGACAAGCAAAAUUGUUGUGAGAAAAGCCGAGUUUUUAAAAAUUGGUAUAAAAAUUAUAGUCUUUUUCUCUCUAGAAAAAAUUGAAUAGAUGUUUUUUUAAUGCUAUACACUUGUACAUUUGGAGAUGAUCUAUCA